AGCUUUCUGAAUCCGUGCAGAGUUGUUGUCAGACACCAACCCAUCAGGGUUGAUCAGACUCCUAAGAUAAGUGAAGUU
rnacentral:pre_miRNA from 1 species